AAAGAUAGAGAACAUUGGUGCCAAUAUCUCUGCAACCCCAGAGGGCCUGCGUUUGACCUGGAAGAACCCAUACAGGGAUAAGGCGCCUCACUGCUUUGAGAGCUUUAUUCGAUUCAAGACCAUCUGUGCCCCCAGCUGGGAGAACGUUACCCCAGUUAGGUUCAACUACGUCCUGAGGACCAGCAGGCAUAAGGAUUACCAGUUCCAGAUACGGAUGAGGUACAACUCGCUAUGUGAACCCACCCGUCUCAAUGUCUGGACCUCGUGGACACCGACGCUCAGCCUAGGAAAUGUUAACGACACAGGAUCUUGCAUGGUGGGGGGACCUCCACCACAGCCCACCACCACACUGUACACCAUCCUCCUCCUCCCCCUUCUCUUGUGUUUCGUGCUCCUGUGCAGCUUGACUCACGAAAGGCACGUAUAAGCUGUAUCAGCCAAUAUGAAAUAUAUAUAUGUAUCCAAAUCCUAUUUACAACCGCCUAAAUACAAUAACAAUGCUUUAAUAAUCAAGUCAGUCGUGCAUAAAACCUCUUAUACUUUAUGUCGAUCCCAUCCAGGGUCAGAAGGUACUUUCUGCCAAUCAUUCCUGAUCCAAAGCACAGGCUGGAUGGGCUCUUUAAGAUGGAAAUUAGUCAGAACUGUGCUGACCCUGAGAUGGAGUGUGAGAUUGAGACAGUGGCAAUCGAAAUAGUCAACUUUGAGAAGGAGGAAGAUGGUCCGAUUGAAGAGAAACUUCUGGAGAAAGACCAGGAGACUAAGGGAGAGGCCGAGCAUGGCAACGGAGGCCGGAGUUCUGGGCUCCAUGCAGUUUGACUGAGGCAGACCUUCAGGGCUACCCCACCAUACCAAUAAGUGGGGAGUACAUCAUGCAUAAUAGGAUAUUGUGAAUAAUCUAAAAUAUGUGCAAAUGCUAAUUAUCCCAGAAAAUACACUGGUUUUGAAAAUAGUAGACACACUUGUUUCAGAUUUGUCUUGACUAAUUAGCCUACGUUGAAACGUGUGUUUUAUUUUAUUUGUAUUAUUGACAAAUAUUGAUCUGUAGCUGUUGUAUUAUAAUUUACAACCAAAGGAGGGCAGUGUGACCAUAAGUAAAAAGAAUGCAGUUCUUCAGUUCUAAAGCUCUCUAAUGAGCCCACGUAAGGCGGGCGUGCUGGGACACAGUGCAGACUGCACAGAGAGGCCUGAUUAUGAUUGAUAAAUGAUGAAAACGUAAUACAAAAGAUCUUAAUGAAGAGGGGGUUUAAAGUGGUUGAUACUGGGGAUUUUAAACUACGGCGGACAAUAAUGUUGCACUUCCUUUGUAUAUAUAUUUUUAUUUUCUAUCAUGUAUUCCAAAUUCAUAAUAAAAAAUAUAUAUUUAUAUAUAUUUACUCUUUGGUAUGAGCUUAUUUUAUAUAGAUGUUUGGG